rnacentral:rRNA from 1 species
UUGGACUAUGGGCGAAAGCCUGAUCCAGCCAUGCCGCGUGUGUGAAGAAGGUCUUCGGAUUGUAAAUCACUUUACGUUGUGAGGAAGGGCAGUAAGUUAAUACGUUGCUGUUUUUACGUUACCGACAGAAUAAGCACCGUCUACCUUCGUGCCAGCAGCCGCGGUAAUACGAAGGGUGCAAGCGUUAAUCGGAAUUACUGUGCGUAAAGCGCGCGUAGGUGGUUUGUUAAGUUGGAAGUGAAAGCACCGGGCUCAACCUGGGAACUGCUUUCAAAACUGGCAAGCUAGAGUAUAGCAGAGGGUGGUGGAAUUUCCUGUGUAGCGGUGAAAUGCGUAGAUAUAGGAAGGAACAUCAGUGGCGAAGGCGACUACCUGGACUGAUACUGACACUGAGGUGCGAAAGCGUGGGGAGCAAACAGG